rnacentral:rRNA from 2 species
CGGCGGGUGCGGCUGCUAUAAUGCAAGUCGAGCGGAUUGAUGGGAGCUUGCUCCCUGAUAUCAGCGGCGGACGGGUGAGUAACACGUGGGUAACCUGCCUGUAAGACUGGGAUAACUCCGGGAAACCGGGGCUAAUACCGGAUAACUCAUUUCCUCGCAUGAGGAAAUGUUGAAAGGUGGCUUCUGCUUCCCCUUUCCAAAGGAACCCCCGGCCCUUUACUUAUUGGGGGAGGAACCGGUUCCCCAGGGCAACAAUGCUAACCCAACCUGAAAGGGGGUCCGCCCCCCCGGGAACGGAAACCCGGCCCAAACUCCAACGGAAGGCACCAUAAGGAAUUCUUCCCCAUGGAACAAAAUUCGGACGAACCACCCCCCCGGGAUGGAUAAAGGUUUCCGAAUCUAAAACUUCGGUGGUUAGGAAAAACCAAUGGCCGUUCAAAUAGGGCGGACCCUUGACGGACCCUACCCAAAAAGCCACGGUUACUUACUUGCCACCACCCGCGUAAUUCCUAAGGUGGCAAGCGUGGUCCGAAUUAAUGGGGCUAAAACCGCGCCAGGUGUUUCCUUAGUCUGAUGGGAAACCCCCGCUUCACCGGUGAAGGGUCUUGGAAACUGGGGAAACUUGAUGCAAGAGAGGAAAGUGGAAUUCAAGUUGUAGCGGUGAAAUGCUAGAUUUUUGGAAGGAACACCAGUGGCGAGCGACUUUCUGUCUGUAACUGACACUGAAGCUCGAAGCGUGGAACCACAGAAUUAGAUACCUUGUAGUCAGCGUAACGAUGAUGCUAGGUAGGCUCAUCAUAUGCUGCAGCUACCAUAGUACUCGUCUUGGGGAUUACG